AGCGUACACGGUGGAUGCCUGGGCAGUCAGAGGCGAUGAAGGACGUACUAACUUGCGAUAAGCGCAGAUAAGGCAGUAAGAGCCGUUUGAGUCUGCGAUUUCCGAAUGGGGAAACCCAACUGCAUAAGCAGUUACUGUUAACUGAAUACAUAGGUUAACAGAGCAAACCGGGGGAACUGAAACAUCUAAGUACCCCGAGGAGAAGAAAUCAACCGAGAUUCCGGUAGUAGCGGCGAGCGAACCUGGAUUAGCCCUUAAGCACUCGGUGAAGUAGGUGAACAAGCUGGAAAGCUUGGCGAUACAGGGUGAUAGCCCCGUAACCGACGCUUCAUCGAGCGUGAAAUCGAGUAGGGCGGGACACGUGAUAUCCUGUCUGAAUAUGGGGGGACCAUCCUCCAAGGCUAAAUACUCCUGACUGACCGAUAGUGAACCAGUACCGUGAGGGAAAGGCGAAAAGAACCCCUGUGAGGGGAGUGAAAUAGAACCUGAAACCGUGUACGUACAAGCAGUAGGAGCACCUUCGUGGUGUGACUGCGUACCUUUUGUAUAAUGGGUCAGCGACUUAUAUUCAGUGGCAAGGUUAACCGUAUAGGGGAGCCGUAGCGAAAGCGAGUCUUAACUGGGCGCUCAGUCUCUGGAUAUAGACCCGAAACCGGGUGAUCUAGCCAUGGGCAGGUUGAAGGUUGAGUAACAUCAACUGGAGGACCGAACCGACUAAUGUUGAAAAAUUAGCGGAUGACUUGUGGCUAGGGGUGAAAGGCCAAUCAAACUCGGAGAUAGCUGGUUCUCCCCGAAAGCUAUUUAGGUAGCGCCUCGGACGAAUACUACUGGGGGUAGAGCACUGUUAAGGCUAGGGGGUCAUCCCGACUUACCAACCCUUUGCAAACUCCGAAUACCAGUAAGUACUAUCCGGGAGACACACGGCGGGUGCUAACGUCCGUCGUGGAGAGGGAAACAACCCAGACCGCCAGCUAAGGUCCCAAAGUAUUGCUAAGUGGGAAACGAUGUGGGAAGGCUCAGACAGCUAGGAUGUUGGCUUAGAAGCAGCCAUCAUUUAAAGAAAGCGUAAUAGCUCACUAGUCGAGUCGGCCUGCGCGGAAGAUGUAACGGGGCUAAGCAAUACACCGAAGCUGCGGCAAUGUCUUUUAGACAUUGGGUAGGGGAGCGUUCUGUAAGCCGUUGAAGGUGAAUCGUAAGGUUUGCUGGAGGUAUCAGAAGUGCGAAUGCUGACAUGAGUAACGACAAAGGGGGUGAAAAACCUCCUCGCCGGAAGACCAAGGGUUCCUGUCCAACGUUAAUCGGGGCAGGGUGAGUCGACCCCUAAGGUGAGGCCGAAAGGCGUAAUCGAUGGGAAACGGGUUAAUAUUCCCGUACUUCUGACUAUUGCGAUGGGGGGACGGAGAAGGCUAGGUGGGCCAGGCGACGGUUGUCCUGGUUCAAGUGCGUAGGCUUGAGAGUUAGGUAAAUCCGGCUCUCUCUAAGGCUGAGACACGACGUCGAGCUACUACGGUAGUGAAGUCAUUGAUGCCAUGCUUCCAGGAAAAGCCUCUAAGCUUCAGAUAGUCAGGAAUCGUACCCCAAACCGACACAGGUGGUCGGGUAGAGAAUACCAAGGCGCUUGAGAGAACUCGGGUGAAGGAACUAGGCAAAAUGGUACCGUAACUUCGGGAGAAGGUACGCUCUUGAUGGUGAAGUCCCUCGCGGAUGGAGCUGACGAGAGUCGCAGAUACCAGGUGGCUGCAACUGUUUAUUAAAAACACAGCACUGUGCAAAAUCGCAAGAUGACGUAUACGGUGUGACGCCUGCCCGGUGCCGGAAGGUUAAUUGAUGGGGUUAGCGCAAGCGAAGCUCUUGAUCGAAGCCCCGGUAAACGGCGGCCGUAACUAUAACGGUCCUAAGGUAGCGAAAUUCCUUGUCGGGUAAGUUCCGACCUGCACGAAUGGCGUAAUGAUGGCCACGCUGUCUCCACCCGAGACUCAGUGAAAUUGAAAUCGCUGUGAAGAUGCAGUGUACCAGUGGGGUUGUAGUAUUGUCCCGGUGUAAAUUUACUUCAGGUUGGCACUGAACAUUGAACCUACAUGUGUAGGAUAGGUGGGAGGCUAUGAAGACGUGACGCCAGUUGCGUUGGAGCCGUCCUUGAAAUACCACCCUUGUAUGUUUGAUGUUCUAACUUAGACCCAUUAUCUGGGUUGAGGACAGUGCCUGGUGGGUAGUUUGACUGGGGCGGUCUCCUCCCAAAGAGUAACGGAGGAGCACGAAGGUGGGCUAAUCACGGUUGGACAUCGUGAGGUUAGUGCAAUGGCAUAAGCCCGCUUAACUGCGAGAAUGACGGUUCGAGCAGGUGCGAAAGCAGGUCAUAGUGAUCCGGUGGUUCUGUAUGGAAGGGCCAUCGCUCAACGGAUAAAAGGUACUCCGGGGAUAACAGGCUGAUACCGCCCAAGAGUUCAUAUCGACGGCGGUGUUUGGCACCUCGAUGUCGGCUCAUCACAUCCUGGGGCUGAAGUCGGUCCCAAGGGUAUGGCUGUUCGCCAUUUAAAGUGGUACGCGAGCUGGGUUUAGAACGUCGUGAGACAGUUCGGUCCCUAUCUGCCGUGGGCGUUGGAAGAUUGAAGGGGGCUGCUCCUAGUACGAGAGGACCGGAGUGGACGAACCUCUGGUGUUCGGGUUGUGUCGCCAGACGCAUUGCCCGGUAGCUAAGUUCGGAAUUGAUAAGCGCUGAAAGCAUCUAAGCGCGAAGCGAGCCCUGAGAUGAGUCUUCCCUGACAGUUUAACUGUCCUAAAGGGUUGU
rnacentral:rRNA from 1 species